rnacentral:rRNA from 1 species
CUCCAGUUGAUCGCAUGGUCUUCUGGGAAAGCUUUCGCGGUAUGGGAUGGGGUCGCGUCCUAUCAGCUUGACGGCGGGGUAACGGCCCACCGCGGCUUCGACGGGUAGCCGGCCUGAGAGGGCGACCGGCCACAUUGGGACUGAGAUACGGCCCAGACUCCUACGGGAGGCAGCAGUGGGGAAUAUUGCACAAUGGGCGCAAGCCUGAUGCAGCGACGCCGCGUGAGGGAUGGAGGCCUUCGGGUUGUAAACCUCUUUUAUCGGGGAGCAAGCGAGAGUGAGUUUACCCGUUGAAUAAGCACCGGCUAACUACGUGCCAGCAGCCGCGGUAAUACGUAGGGUGCAAGCGUUAUCCGGAAUUAUUGGGCGUAAAGGGCUCGUAGGCGGUUCGUCGCGUCCGGUGUGAAAGUCCAUCGCUUAACGGUGGAUCCGCGCCGGGUACGGGCGGG